GUUUCUCCAAGACCCAGGUAUACCUGAAGGAGCCCUUUCCCAUCUCAGCAGCCUCCUUCUCAAAUUUUUUGAUAGUUCUUUUGUCAAUCCCACCACGUUUGUAGAUCAGAUGACCACACCUCUGAAAUCAAGA